rnacentral:rRNA from 1 species
GAUGAACGCUGGCGGCGUGCCUAAUACAUGCAAGUCGAGCGAACAGACGAGGAGCUUGCUCCUCUGACGUUAGCGGCGGACGGGUGAGUAACACGUGGAUAACCCACCUAUAAGACUGGGAUAACUUCGGGAAACCGGAUCUAAUACCGGAUAAUAUAUUGAACCGCAUGGUUCAAUAGUGAAAGACGGUUUUGCUGUCUCUAAUAGAUGGAUCCGCGCCGCAUUAGCUAGUUGGUAAGGUAACGGCUUACCAAGGCAACGAUGCGUAGCCGAACUGAGAGGGUGAUAGGCCACACUGGAACUGAGACACGGUCCAGACUCCUACGGGAGGCAGCAGUAGGGAAUCUUCCGCAAUGGGCGAAAGCUUGACGGAGCAAGGCCGCGUGAGUGAUGAAGGUCUUCGGAUCGUAAAACUCUGUUAUUAGGGAAGAACAAAUGUGUAAGUAACUAUGCACGUCUUGACGGUACCUAAUCAGAAAGCCACGGCUAACUACGUG